rfam:Oryza sativa Japonica Group DNA, chromosome 1, cultivar: Nipponbare, complete sequence.
UGACUUUUUCCUAAGUUAAACUUCUUUCGCUUUGACUAAAUUUAUAGAAAAAUAUAGCAAUAUUUUCAACAUAAAACAAAGAAACUAUCAAAAUAUAUUCAAUGUGGGAUUGAAUAAAACUAAUUUGGUGCUAUAAAUGUUGCUACAUUUUUCUAUAAACUUUGUCAAAUUUUCAAGAAGUUCGACUUUAAAAAAGUCAAA